rnacentral:rRNA from 1 species
UACGUAGGGGGCAAGCGUUGUCCGGAUUUAUUGGGCGUAAAGAGCGUGUAGGCGGCCAGACAGGUCUGCUGUGAAAACUCGAGGCUCAACCUCGAGACGCCGGUGGAAACCGUUUGGCUAGAGUCCGGAAGAGGAGAGUGGAAUUCCUGGUGUAGCGGUGAAAUGCGCAGAUAUCAGGAAGAACACCCGUGGCUAAGGCGGCUAUCUAGUACGGUACUGACGCUGAGACGCGAAAGCGUGGGGAGCGAACAGG